AGCGAGGCUAGAGUCACGCCUUGGCAUUGCUGUUGUCCUGGUGUGCUAAAGUGCUCGCAUAGUAAAUGUCUUUGCCAAUUUCGUUGGCUUUGGUCUUUAGUGGCCCAGCCAAUCACCAACUCAGACACAUCA